CCGGACCGGCGCACGGGUGAGUAACGCGUAUGCAACUUACCUAUCAGAGGGGGAUAACCCGGCGAAAGUCGGACUAAUACCGCAUGAAGCAGGGGCCCCGCAUGGGGAUAUUUGCUAAAGAUUCAUCGCUGAUAGAUAGGCAUGCGUUCCAUUAGGCAGUUGGCGGGGUAACGGCCCACCAAACCGACGAUGGAUAGGGGUUCUGAGAGGAAGGUCCCCCACAUUGGUACUGAGACACGGUCCAA
rnacentral:rRNA from 1 species